rnacentral:rRNA from 1 species
AACGUAGGGUGCAAGCGUUGUCCGGAAUUACUGGGUGUAAAGGGAGCGCAGGCGGAUUGGCAAGUUGGGAGUGAAAUCUAUGGGCUCAACCCAUAAAUUGCUUUCAAAACUGUCAGUCUUGAGUGGUGUAGAGGUAGGCGGAAUUCCCGGUGUAGCGGUGGAAUGCGUAGAUAUCGGGAGGAACACCAGUGGCGAAGGCGGCCUACUGGGCACUAACUGACGCUGAGGCUCGAAAGCAUGGGUAGCAAACAGGAUUAGAUACCCUGGUAGUCCAUGCCGUAAACGAUGAUUACUAGGUGUGGGAGGAUUGACCCCUUCCGUGCCGCAGUUAACACAAUAAGUAAUCCACCUGGGGAGUACGACCGCAAGGUUGAA